UUGCUUUUUUGAGACCGGCGCACGGGUGAGUAACGCGUAUGCAACCUACCUUAUACAGGGGAAUAGCCCGAAGAAAUUCGGAUUAAUGCUCCAUGGUUUAUCGAUAUGGCAUCGUAUUGAUAAUAAAGAUUUAUCGGUAUAAGAUGGGCAUGCGUAUCAUUAGCUAGUUGGUGUGGUAACGGCAUACCAAGGCAACGAUGAUUAGGGGUCCUGAGAGGGAGAUCCCCCACACUGGUACUGAGACACGGACCAGACUCCUACGGGAGGCAGCAGUGAGGAAUAUUGGUCAAUGGAGGCAACUCUGAACCAGCCAUGCCGCGUGCAGGAUGACGGUCCUAUGGAUUGUAAACUGCUUUUGUACAGGAAGAAACCUCCCUACGAGUAGGGACUUGACGGUACUGUAAGAAUAAGGAUCGGCUAACUCCGUGCCAGCAGCCGCGGUAAUACGGAGGAUCCGAGCGUUAUCCGGAAUUAUUGGGUUUAAAGGGUUCGUAGGCGGCUUUGUAAGUCAGUGGUGAAAUUUCCUAGCUUAACUAGGACACUGCCAUUGAUACUGCAGAGCUUGAAUAAUAUGGAAGUAACUAGAAUAUGUAGUGUAGCGGUGAAAUGCUUAGAUAUUACAUGGAAUACCAAUUGCGAAGGCAGGUUACUACGUAUUUAUUGACGCUGAUGAACGAAAGCGUGGGGAGCGAACAGGAUUAGAUACCCUGGUAGUCCACGCCGUAAACGAUGGAUACUAGCUGUU
rnacentral:rRNA from 1 species